GUUCAGUGGGCUGUCCCCGGGCCCUGGGUGGAGGCCAAGCCUGGCCCAUAAAUAGGGGUCUCCUCAGUGCCCUCCGCUCCUCCCGCACACCUCCCUCGCUCUCCCACACCACUGGCACCAGGCCCCGGACACCCGCUCUGCUGCAGGAGAAUGGCUACUCAUCACACGCUGUGGAUGGGACUGGCCCUGCUGGGGGUGCUGGGCGACCUGCAGGCAGCACCCGAGGCCCAGGUCUCCGUGCAGCCCAACUUCCAGCAGGACAAGACACCGGGACACACACGCGCCCACGCCAGCCAAACACGUCCACCCCUGUGGGCACGCGACCCCCAGAGGACACACGAGCGCACGUUCCACACCUGGGUGCCAGGACACGGGCAGGUGGGGCACAGGGAUGGCGACAAACACUCCGUGCGCUGUGGGGGUUGGGAGGGACGCGCACCGCACAGACAGCCGGCGACGCGCGCUCUCGCCCGGGAGCUGCUCGGGGAAGCGCCGGAGCGCGGGUCCCCGCGCCGCGCGCCCCUCCCUGGCGUCGAGGAGACCCCCAGCGGUCCGCAGAGCUGAGCCGAAGACCCGCCCCGAUCCCCGCCAGGAAUGCGACGUCCUCUGCCGCCCGCUGUAUGGGCCAGGCGCUCAGCCAGGGCACAGAAUGGGGACCGGGGGCGGAGGGGCCCAAGCUGGCUGGUGGGCGGCGUGCGAGUGUGAGGGACUGUCCUCGGGAGGGGCGUGGCCAGACGGGGGUGCUGGGUGUCAGGGGCGUGGCCAGCUUC
rnacentral:lncRNA from 1 species